rnacentral:pre_miRNA from 1 species
CGUGCACCAGUGGGGUCCCUUGGCCUGGCCUGUGGGAUUGGGCUGAAACAUGCUCUCCAACAUCCCCCGAGGGGUCAUGGAUUGCAGGAGGGCGCAGGCCAGGCCAAGGGACCCCACUGGGGCACA